rnacentral:rRNA from 1 species
GACGAACGCUGGCGGCGUGCUUAACACAUGCAAGUCGAACGGAAAGGCCCUGCUUUUGUGGGGUGCUCGAGUGGCGAACGGGUGAGUAACACGCGAGUAACCUGCCCUUGACUUUGGGAUAACUUCAGGAAACUGGGGCUAAUACCGGAUAGGAGCUCCUGCUGCAUGGUGGGGGUUGGAAAGUUUCGGCGGUUGGGGAUGGACUCGCGGCUUAUCAGCUUGUUGGUGGGGUAGUGGCUUACCAAGGCUUUGACGGGUAGCCGGCCUGAGAGGGUGACCGGCCACAUUGGGACUGAGAUACGGCCCAGACUCCUACGGGAGGCAGCAGUGGGGAAUAUUGCACAAUGGGCGGAAGCCUGAUGCAGCAACGCCGCGUGCGGGAUGACGGCCUUCGGGUUGUAAACCGCUUUCGCCUGUGACGAAGCGUGAGUGACGGUAAUGGGUAAAGAAGCACCGGCUAACUACGUGCCAGCAGCCGCGGUGAUACGUAGGGUGCGAGCGUUGUCCGGAUUUAUUGGGCGUAAAGGGCUCGUAGGUGGUUGAUCGCGUCGGAAGUGUAAUCUUGGGGCUUAACCCUGAGCGUGCUUUCGAUACGGGUUGACUUGAGGAAGGUAGGGGAGAAUGGAAUUCCUGGUGGAGCGGUGGAAUGCGCAGAUAUCAGGAGGAACACCAGUGGCGAAGGCGGUUCUCUGGGCCUUUCCUGACGCUGAGGAGCGAAAGCGUGGGGAGCGAACAGGCUUAGAUACCCUGGUAGUCCACGCUGUAAACGGUGGGUACUAGGUGUGGGGUCCAUUCCACGGGUUCCGUGCCGUAGCUAACGCUUUAAGUACCCCGCCUGGGGAGUACGGCCGCAAGGCUAAAACUCAAAGGAAUUGGCGGGGCCCCGCACAAGCGGCGGAGCAUGCGGAUUAAUUCGAUGCAACGCGUAGAACCUUACCUGGGUUUGACAUGGAUCGGGAGUGCUCAGAGAUGGGUGUGCCUCUUUUGGGGUCGGUUCACAGGUGGUGCAUGGCUGUCGUCAGCUCGUGUCGUGAGAUGUUGGGUUAAGUCCCGCAACGAGCGCAACCCUUGUUCACUGUUGCCAGCACGUUAUGGUGGGGACUCAGUGGAGACCGCCGGGGUCAACUCGGAGGAAGGUGGGGAUGACGUCAAGUCAUCAUGCCCCUUAUGUCCAGGGCUUCACGCAUGCUACAAUGGCUGGUACAGAGAGUGGCGAGCCUGUGAGGGUGAGCGAAUCUCGGAAAGCCGGUCUCAGUUCGGAUUGGGGUCUGCAACUCGACCUCAUGAAGUCGGAGUCGCUAGUAAUCGCAGAUCAGCAACGCUGCGGUGAAUACGUUCCCGGG